GACAGAGGUGGCAAGCGUUGUUCGGAUUUACUGGGCGUAAAGCGCACGUAGGCGGCUUUGUAAGUUAGAGGUGAAAUCCUGGAGCUCAACUCCAGAACUGCCUCUGAUACUGGGAAUCUUGAGUCCGGGAGAGGUGAGUGGAACUGCGAGUGUAGAGGUGAAAUUCGUAGAUAUUCGCAAGAACACCAGUGGCGAAGGCGGCUCACUGGCCCGGUACUGACGCUGAGGUGCGAAAGCGUGGGGAGCAAACAGG
rnacentral:rRNA from 1 species